GCUUAGAGUUUGAUCCUGGCUCAGAACGAACGCUGGCGGCAUGCCUAACACAUGCAAGUCGAGCGCGCUCUUCGGUAUCGAGCGGCGGACAGGGGAGUAACGCGUGGGAACCUGCCCAUGGGUAGGGAAUAACUCAGGGAAACUUGGGCUAAUACCCUAUUCAUCCCCCGGGAGAUAGAUUUAUCGCCCUUGGAUGGGCCCGCGUUGUAUUACUUUGUUGUUGAGGUACUGGCUCUCCACUGCAACGAUCCGUAACUGUUCUGAGAGGAAGAUCAGCCUCACUGAGACUGAAACGCGACCCACACUCCUGCGGGAGGCACCAGUGGGGAAUCUUGCACAAUGGGCGCAAUGCCUGAUGCUGCCCUGCCGCGUGAGUGAUGAAGGCCCUACGGUUGUAGAGCUCAUUUCACGCGUGACGAUAAUGACCGUUUCUCUCGACAAGAAGCCCCGGCUAACUUCCUGCCGACUACCUCUGUACUACAAACGGGGCUAGCGUUGUUCUGAAUUACUGGACGUAAAGCUCGCGUAGGCUGAUGAUUAAUUCAGGGGUGAAAGCCCGGACCUCAGCUCCGAAGAUGCCCUUGAUACUGGUCAUCUUGAGACCUGGAUAGGAGAGUGGAAUUCCCAGUGUAAAGGUGAAAUUCGU
rnacentral:rRNA from 1 species